rnacentral:rRNA from 1 species
GACGAACGCUGGCGGCGUGCUUAACACAUGCAAGUCGAACGCUGAAGCUCAGCUUGCUGGGUGGAUGAGUGGCGAACGGGUGAGUAACACGUGAGUAACCUGCCCUCUUCUUUGGGAUAACGCCCGGAAACGGGUGCUAAUACUGGAUAUUCACUGAUUCUCGCAUGGGGGUUGGUGGAAAGGUUUUUUCUGGUGGGGGAUGGGCUCGCGGCCUAUCAGCUUGUUGGUGGGGUGAUGGCCUACCAAGGCUUUGACGGGUAGCCGGCCUGAGAGGGUGACCGGUCACAUUGGGACUGAGAUACGGCCCAGACUCCUACGGGAGGCAGCAGUGGGGAAUAGUGCACAAUGGGCGAAAGCCUGAUGCAGCGACGCCGCGUGAGGGAUGGAGGCCUUCGGGGUGUAAACCUCUUUCGCUCAUGGUCAAGCCGCAGAGUGGGGUUGUGGUGAGGGUAGUGGGUAAAGAAGCGCCGGCUAACUACGUG